CCUUUACGGCGGCAGUCGUUACGAUAGUAAUCCUGCCCAGUACGAGAGGAACGGCAGGUUUGGACAUUUGUUUCGGCACUCGCCCGAGCGGGCGUUGGUGCGAGGCUACCAUCCGUGGGAUUACGCCUGAACGCCUCUAAGGCCGUAUCCACUUUGGAGAAAAACAGCCGGGCCGGCUUUCGGGCCGGUCUCGGGAAAACGAUCGUCCGUACGGCGGAGGAGAACCCAGUAUACAUCGGGAAGGCGUCAAAGCACGGACCUUCGGGUCCACGACGAGCCGGAUUCUCGGCCGCGCGGGCUCUCGGGCCCGCUGGCCGUGCAUCAACGGUGAACGCGGUGAUCCCGCGGCAAACGGUGUGGGUUUUCGGAAUCGUCUGCAGACGACUUAAGUACCGGGCUGGGUGUUGUACUCGGCAGAGCAGUUACCACGCUGCGAUCUGUUAAGACUGCCCUUUGCCUCGGGGGUUCGU
rnacentral:ncRNA from 1 species